rnacentral:misc_RNA from 1 species
UUUAUGUAGAAAUCAAGGAAAAGCUAAAAUUCGGAGAGAAAAUGAGAGUUGAAUUGGAAAAGGAGCAAUUUUGCAUUGCAAAUAUGAGAAAUUUUCUCUCUUUUCUUAUUUAUUAAUUGAUUUUUCUCUCAAAUAUUUGAAGUGAUAUUCAAUUUUUAUUGGUUUCUCUCUCUCGAAGUUCUGCAAUUUUCUCUCUCUCUUUAGGGUUUGGAAAUGGAAGAGAGAGUAACAGAAUGAGGUUGGAAGGUAGAAGAAAACAGAAUAACAACAGCAAAUGAACCCUUAUUUCUCCUUCUAAUUACGAAUGUGCCAUUUAUCUUUUUUUUUUUUAAUAAAAUUACAAGUCUUUUUUUUCCCUUCUCUCUCCGAAUCAGAUUAUUUUUUCCCUUCAACUCGUCACACACUGCAAAUGAACUACAUGCGUAUUCGGACAGUUAAAAAAGGGCAUAAUAUCAACAAAUUUACAAGUUUAAGAGUUUAAAAUACAGAACGCAAAAUAUAGGAGCUAUAUGUUAAUAUGAAGUGAAGUUCAGGCAGUUAAACAUGCGUUUUGCCUUUCAUUUUCAAAAAAAUUUUUAGUGUCCCACCAAAUACAAAUUGCAUGAACAUACUUCUUUGCUGUUGGGUUUGAGCUGCUAUCGGUAUUGAUAUUCACAACUUCACGUCGUCAUCUUUGGUAAUUGCAUCUCAGUUUGAUACAUCUUAAACUCAGUUGAGCUUUGAUAUUAGUGAUAACUAGAGCUUUUUCUUUUUGAGCUUAACUUUUUGGAGCCAUAUUGAAUAGGGAAAAUUAUUGUUUACUCUUUGUAUUUUAACAAAAUUAACUACUUAAACCCUCUAUUUCUUAGUUAGUGAACUAUUUAGUCCCUCCCGUUAUUUUUAAACCAAAAUUUUUUUCCCAACUCAACUUUUCAUUCUUUUUAAUUUGAAUAAUACAAUCCUUGUCUAAAACUAUUCUCUCUCCUUUGACUAACUUGCAUAAUAGAAAAGUUAACAGGAUAGAUUAAAAAGUUUACGGACUAAAAAUAGGAGGACUAAAUAGUGUCUUUUUUAAAAUUGAGAGACUAAGUAAUUAGCUUCGUUAAAAUGUAGGGACUAAAUAGUAAUUUUCCCUAUAACAUAUUCAUUUAUUUCUGUUAAACGUGGAUUUCAUCAGCUUCUCCAAGAAAUGAACGUCCUCAGAAUGGGAAAGGUAUGAUUGUAGAACAAUAUCUUUGAUCAUAUUGGAUUGGGGCCUCGGCAUAAUUCUGAAUGUCAUUUUCCCAGGUCUAUGAUCUCAUACGGUGAAGCAAUCCAUUGGCAUCUUAAAAGUAUGAAUGGUAAAUUCUGAAUUUACAAUCCUGUUGGAUCACUUUAGGCUUUACCAUUCAAACAUGUUGCUUAAUAUGUAGAGUACAAUAGUCUGGAAUAAGCUUUAAGGCACAUUAAGAUUUAGGGGGAAUUUUGCUUUAUGGCAUUUUCUCUCUGGUGGUUGCUUUUGUUACUGAAAUCAUGCAGUUAUCUUUGCAGAAUAUUACAAACAAACCAGUUUAUUUCUUCCUUUGUUGGUGGUAAGAUGCUUCUUUUGAGGUCAUUUACCUGGAUUGUGACUGCACUUGUUAGUUUUCCAUUGAAUUCAUGGAAAUUGAUUCUCCUCAGUGAUAUUUUGGAACAUACUUCAUUAUAUGAGUUAUGAGGAGAGUCAUGGAAAAGUCUCUGGUGUAUGAUUGAGUCAUAAAAUAUUAGAAAUAAUUAUUUAGUUCCUUUUUUUUAACAAAAUAUGCUACUUAGUUCUUCUGUUUUGAAAAAUACGUUAGUUAUUGCUUACAUUUUUAUUCCAUUUACUUUUUAGUCCUUCCG